GCCACUGUGGUCUAGCGGUUAGAACGCUGGCCUUGUAAUCCUGGGGUCUCGGGUUCGAUUCUCGGCGUUGCCC
rnacentral:tRNA from 1 species